AUGACCCAACCUUUGCUA
rnacentral:tRNA from 1 species